rnacentral:lncRNA from 1 species
GUAAGUCUUAUGAACCACAAUGCCACCCGUUGAUUGGAAAAGGGUGAUCAUGGGAGAGGGGAGGCUCAUUUUAAGCGGUAUCUCCAGGCUUCCACAGAGAAAUGUCACCUUUCCGUGUGUUGAGUAAGCCUACGAGAAGAGGAGAGCCUUGUACUUCCUCCAUAUGCACCCCCACAUACUCUCCCUCACUCUCAGUCUCAAGAAAAGUGAGCGAUACUGGUCUGUCAUGAAGGUUACCUGG